UGCCAGCCGCCGCGGUAAUACGGAGGGUGCAAACGUUGCUCGGAUUUACUGGGCGUAAAGGGAUCGCAGGCGGCCUAUUAAGUCUGAUGUGAAAGCCCGGGGCUCAACCUCGGAACUGCCUCUAAUACUGCUAGUCUUGAGUUCGAGAGAGGUGAGUGGAAUUCCGAGUGUAGAGGUGAAAUUCGUAGAUAUUCGGAGGAACACCAGUGGCGAAGGCGGCUCACUGGCUCGAUACUGACGCUGAGGUGCGAAAGCGUGGGGAGCAAACAGGAUUAGAUA
rnacentral:rRNA from 1 species